UAGCUCAGUUGGCUAGAGCAUGGUGCUGAUAACACCAAGGUCGCGGGUUCGAUCCCUGU
rnacentral:tRNA from 1 species